rnacentral:lncRNA from 1 species
AAAGAAGCAGGGGAGGGGAUGGUGGGUGGGGAGGGCGGGUGGGAAGGGCUUUCCAGACAAAAGGAUUAGCAUGUGCAAGGCCAUGAAGAUAAGAGAAAGCGUGGGCACCCUGCGAGAACUGCCAGGGAAGCAUAGAGCGGGUGGAGGCAUGCGGUAAGAGAUGGCAGGUCUCAUGUGUGCCCCUGAACAAGGACAAAGGUGCAUUCGCGGCUGUAGAAAGAGACUUGGCUUCAUCUCUACAGCCAUUUCUCUUGGAUCCAGAACCUGUAAUACUCACCUCUUUGCUUUAUCUUCUUUGGAGUUUGAAUCAGUUCUCUAGGCUUUCAACCUAUUUCUAGCUACCACCAGACACAUUGAGAACCUUCCAUACCCAUCGUCUACAGAAAAGACUUCCAAGUUUGACAUUCCAGUCUGUCCACAACCCCUAUCCAAUCUACCUGCCUCCACACACACUUUCUCCUCCUGAUCAACCACGUCCUAGUAACAGAGCUUACCCUUCCUCAGCUCUUCUCAUUUAGUUACAAGAGACUGCUUUCCUUCUACAAAUUCAUUCGUCCCCCAAGACCUGCCUCAAGCGGCCGCCUUUGGUGGAACCUGAGAAUGUGUCUGCCUGACAUUUCCUAUAUGCCGUCUUGGCAUUGUCAAAUUUCUUGUAAGUUUAUCUCUCCUUUCCUGAGCUAAACUGUGAGCUCCUGGAGGCAGGGGAUGUGAAGGCACAUGGGAUAUUUUUUAAAAAUAGAUUGGGUUAACAUGGGUCAGAACUUGAUUUUGGCUCUAUCAUUGUUAAAACAAAGAUUCAAGGAGAGGGAAUGUUCAAACCUAGCACCAGAGAUGACUCGAUCUAACAAGAGUGCGGGAGAACAGACAAGAACCCAUGCUCUCACUGUGAGAUUCAGACUAUUUCAUAAUGGUUUCUGCUCUGCCAAGAUUAUGUAUCUGACAUCUCUAAAGGCCUGACUCACUAAGCAGAAAGAUAUGGAGACUAUUUAGCUCUGAAAGAGAUCAUGUAAAUCUAUGAGGGGAAGUUCCCCUCUUACUGUAUAAACUUUGGCCUUGUUUGACUAUACUGAACAUACGUAAGAUAUAGUCAUAGUAAAAGCAGCUCUUUAAUUUUUUUCUAGUGCAAAAUGACCAGGAAGCUCAAAGAAAAGGAAAAAAGAGGAAUGAAUUUUUCUCUUUCCCUUUCCUGAGAACACAGAACAUAAAGAGAACAGCGAGCAGGCCGGAACAUUCCUAGGUUUUUAAAAAAUUUUAAUUGCUUCUAACUCUGAAUGUCUGUAACUAAGUUUGCCUUUCUGCCCCCUAACUCUGCAGGANNNNNNNNNNNNNNNNNNNNNNNNNNNNNNNNNNNNNNNNNNNNNNNNNNNNNNNNNNNNNNNNNNNNNNNNNNNNNNNNNNNNNNNNNNNNNNNNNNNUUAUUCCAUUUGGUAUUGUUGCAGUGAAAAGGGAAAAGGAAAAAAAAGAGGAAUGGGUUUUUCUCUUUCCCUUUCCUGAGGACAAAGAAUAUAGAGAGAAGAGUGAGCAGGACUGAACAUUCCAAGUUUUUGGUUGUUGUUAUUUACUUUAACUUCUCCUAACUCUGAAUGUCUAUAACUAAGUUUGCUCUUCUGCCCUCUAACUCUGCAAGAGCUACACUUGACACCUAUUUUCCUUAAACUCUAUGCUUAAUACAUCCUCUAUCUGGUGUUUACCCUUACACAGAGGCACCUACUGCCAGACUCAAUUAUUGGGUUACUGACUCCAGUUUAUGACUGACUGUCUUUGAAACAAUGCAAGAGGAAGAAAUCAAGAUCCUAUCACCUUUGUUUCUCAUCACUGACUCCUGAGUGGGAAUCCUUGCCUUAUUUAAACUCCUAGACUCCUCAUGGGAGGAGGUGGGCACAAUUCUUGAGGCAUUAGCCUACUGCAUUCACUUCUCCUCCAGCUGAGAAUAAAAGCCCCCUUUCUAUUUCCUCCAAACUUUGUCUCCAUAUUUUUCAUUCAGCUUCAGUGGGUAGAGAAGGCCAAGAUUUUGGCCGGCAACAAUUUAAUGAAAAAAAUAUAUNNNNNNNNNNNNNNNNNNNNNNNNNNNNNNNNNNNNNNNNNNNNNNNNNNNNNNNNNNNNNNNNNNNNNNNNNNNNNNNNNNNNNNNNNNNNNNNNNNNUAUUUUUCAUUCAGCUUCGGUGGGCAGAGAAGGCCAAGAUUUUGGCCAGCGACAGCAACAAAGACCCAGAAUAGCUAAAAAUAAAUAUAAAUAAAUAAAUAUUUAAAAUAAAACUGAAUAGGGGUAGAUAAAGGGACUGAAUGUCAUUUCAGUCGCUCUUUACCCAUCUCUUUGCUUAUUUGUGGUUCUUCCUCUGGUCUGGAAGCCCCAGGAAGGCAGGGUUCCUGCGCUCUUUGUUUGCUGUACAGCACCUCACACAGAGUACAUCCAAUAAAUAUUUGUGGAAUAAAUGAUGAUUCCUGGUUCUCAAACUACUAUUCUGGGAAGAAACUCUGCCAUCAACCAGUAGAAGUGUUUCUAUGAGUUUUUUUUUUUUUUUUUGAAUGGAUCCGCAGGAUGAGUCAACUUUGAAUGAGCCAAGGAUUGGUGAAAAGUACUAACUGCCAACGUCAUUCUGCAUCCUGCCAAACAGUGAGCAUUGUGCGCUGGUAUGCACUUGUGGGCUUACUCAGUUGUGUCUGAUUCUUAGUGACCCCUUGGACUAUAGCCCACCAGGCUCCCCUGUCCAUGGAAUUCUCCAGGAAGGUUACAGGAGUGGGUUGCCAUGCCCUCCUCCAAGGGAUCUUCUUGACCCAGGGAUUGAACCAGCAUCUCCUGUGUUUCCUACAUUGGCAGGCAGAUUCUUUACCAUUGUGCCAUCUGGAAAGCUCUUGUGGUUCACUGAAGUGCUCCAUAAUUCUGUUCUGAUUAAUUUCCUUUGAGCCAGGGAUUCCAAAACCUGGUCCGAUGGACCUAUGGGCUUUAGGGCCCCACAAACACUUAAAAUAUUUGGAUGUGUGCUUCUUCCUAGGUAUAGAAUUCACAGCUUUCAUCCACGUAUCAGAAGAGUCUGAGCUUUAGAGGUUGAUGUUCUCAUCUAACCAGCUAUUAUGAGUGGAGGCCCAAAGUGCAAGAAGCAGAGGAGUGAAUUCAAGUUCUGCAGUCAAGGUCACUCCCAGGAGGGCACCCAGCUGGCUCUGGGAGACCAGACAACAAUGACAGCAAGUUUUGUUAAGCUCAGUGCACUGUGCUGCUGUAACUCAUUUAUCCUCCCAGAGCUUAUGAGAAAAGCACCGGUAUUACCAACCCACUUUACAGAUGAGGAAACGGAGGCUUGGGAAAGUUAAGUAAAGUAGCCUGUUAUCACUAAUAAUAAGUGUGUGCUUGGAUUCAAUCCCAGGUCUAAGUGGUGUGCAGCCUGCAUGAUUACCCACCGCCUCGUAUUUGUUCUUCCCAUGGUCAGAAGAACUGGUCGUCUUUUAUGAAAACCACAGAGCACUCUGAUCACAAAGAGCUGCCAGCUGCCCCCUUUGCUGUAAAAAUCAAGUUCAAGCCUGGUACCAGAAGGCCCCAAAGGUGUCUCCAGCAAACUUUGACUUAAAAAAAAAGAAAGGGAAUCCAGACAGGUUCCCAAGAGUUCACAGUGCGCUGAGCUCUGACCCUGGAGCACGCAUAUUUCAGAGCCUUUGUGUCUUAAUUACAGGUAAACAGGUGCACAUAAUCGUCUCUGUUGACUCUUUCCAGGUUAGUCAUUUAAUUAUGGUCUGCUAAAGAGUGAGAAAAACCCACGCUCUCCACCCACUGUCAAGAUAAAAAGCUUACAAUUCAGCUCAGUUCAACCACAAUCUAACACAAUCUAUCACUUACAAGUCAGUAGGAUCCAGGCAACUGUGGGUGGGAAAGUGGUCAUUUUGAAGAUGAAUAAGUCAUUUCAUAUACUCCUCUUGGCAAAAAGUAAGGAUGCAGGAUACUCUUAUGUAAUCAAUAGAGCCCUGAACAUGAGGCACAAAUCUAUGGAGUCAGAUGGAAGCAUGAUGGCAAUGAUGAAGAGGACCACUGACACCUCCAUUUCACAAGGACCAUCACGGGGCUGGCAUGUUAAACACGCUGUCCCCAAACACCACAGCAAUUCCAGGAGGUAAGUUUUCUUGGCCUGCUUCAGAGCUGAAAUAAAGUGGAGAAAACUGCCCAGUGGCAUAACAUAAUAACCAAGUGGCUGAGUCAGGGCUUGAACACAAUUCUCUUUGCCCUCGGAGUCCUGCCUUCUUCCAACCCUCUUGUCCCACAGACCUUGUGCUGAAAUGUGAAUACCCUCUGUUUUAUCUGCUUUGUGUAUCCAAUACUUGGUCUGCCAAGAAGCAUAUUCAAAAGAGUAAUUUUUAAAACACAGAGCAAUUCUAGAUUUGAGCAACGCACAACAUGGAUUUGUGAUCUAGGAAGAGUUAAGGGUCGCAUGCUGACCCUUCCUUUUCAAUAUCAUUUUAAGGAAUCUUCCAUGUGCAGUUACCCAUUCACUGGGUCAUGAGCAAUUCACAUCUUCCCCCUCAAGCCCAGGGCUGGCGUUCUAGAUGCCCUUCUCCUGGGGAGAUGCCUAAAACUAGCUGAUCAAGCUGGUUUCGUAAAUGUGUUUGAAACACCUACUUAACAUCCAACAUCAUCCAGUGUAUUCAUCUUUGUUGUUGUUUAGUCACUAAGUCAUGUCUGACUAUUUGCGAUCCCGUGGACUGUAG